rnacentral:tRNA from 1 species
CUUUUACAAGGGGAAGGGUGGCCCUGUGACUCACUGGAAGAGAUAAUUUCCACCUAAGAUGGAAAAAUGUACAUCAGAUGGAAUCAUCACUGCUAUGGACCAAAUUAUCACAUGCUAAAACCUGUGCAUGGCAUGAAAAAAUCUCAGUACAGGUAGCUAAGUCAAUACUGUAGAAACACGAAAAAGGACACAAUCCAACACAAGUGGACAGGGAGGAAAGGACCAGGAAGAAGAUAUAGUACCCAGGAGUAUGCCCACAGUGACAUACUUUCUCCAGCCAUGCCCCAAUUUCCUCCAGUUUCCACACCUCCCAGUAGUUUUUUUUUUUUUCAGUUGUAGUUGGACACAAUAUCUUUAUUUCACUUAUUUAUUUUUAUGUGGUGCUGAGGAUCGAACCCAGGGUCUCACACAUGCAAGGUGAGUGCUCUAACUCUGAGCCACAACCCCAGCCCUCCCAGUAGUUCUUUCAGCUAUCAAUGGAUGAGUCCACUGAUGAGGUCAGAGCCCUCAUGAUCCAAUCAGUUUCUACAUUUGAGCAUUAUUGUAUUGGGAAACAAGACUUUAACACAUAAAACUUUGGGGGCACAUUUCCACUCCAAACUAUAACCAGCUCCAGGCCAAGUUGGGACACUCUGGAGUCCAAGGCACUUGUAAAAAAAAAGGCAUUAGGUGUGUUCAGGGUCUCAGCACAGUCUGUCUUUAGGCAAGAGUCAGUGUGGGUAGCAAGCCAACAGGUCUUGGAGCUGGAUUGGAGGAAAUCUCAGGUCUGUGGCUCAAACCUGUUCUUAAGGAGGUUCUCAGCUGUGGUAUAGAUUGUCCUACAGAGUCCCCAGUGAACACUACUGACCACCUUCUGCCCCAGUCCUACCAAAGCAGAAGACUCAUGAAAAUGCUAACAUGUUCUAUGCCAUGAACUCUCAUGAUAACUGUUAUUUUUGCCUGAAGAAGUGGACCUUCACCUGGGUGUAUGAAGGUCCUGCAUAGAGCCAGUUCAACCCUCCCUCACAUGAAUCAGAGACAGCUCAAGAUUGCCAAGAGCAUCUUCUGAUGGACAUCUCCCUGGGGACUGGAUGGCCAAUGGUAAAGCACUUUCAGGCUUGUUAGAGUCUGUAAACAAGUCAAAAUAACACCUGGCAUUUUGCCAGGGGAAUGUUAGAGUUCGUAAACAAGUCUGGAUGGUGCCUGGCAAAAUGCCAGAGGGAGUGGUUUGAGAAGUAACAAAAGCAAGCCAUUAAGUGUGGAGAUUCCUUAUUGGUUGACUGAUGUAUCUAGUUUAUGCUAAUUAGAUAAGCUGUGUGGAAUGUAUAAAUACUGCUCCUGUCCUG